rnacentral:rRNA from 1 species
GAUGAACGCUGGCGGCGUGCCUAAUACAUGCAAGUCGAGCGAACAGACGAGGAGCUUGCUCCUCUGACGUUAGCGGCGGACGGGUGAGUAACACGUGGAUAACCUACCUAUAAGACUGGGAUAACUUCGGGAAACCGGAGCUAAUACCGGAUAAUAUAUUGAACCGCAUGGUUCAAUAGUGAAAGACGGUUUUGCUGUCACUUAUAGAUGGAUCCGCGCCGCAUUAGCUAGUUGGUAAGGUAACGGCUUACCAAGGCGACGAUGCGUAGACGACCUGAGAGGGUGAUCGGCCACACUGGAACUGAGACACGGUCCAGACUCCUACGGGAGGCAGCAGUAGGGAACCUUCCGCAAUGGGCGAAAGCCUGACGGAGCAACGCCGCGUGAGUGAUGAAGGUCUUCGGAUCGUAAAACUCUGUUAUUAGGGAAGAACAAAUGUGUAAGUAACUAUGCACGUCUUGACGGUACCUAAUCAGAAAGCCACGGCUAACUACGUG